UGGGGAAUAUUGCACAAUGGGCGCAAGCCUGAUGCAGCCAUGCCGCGUGUGUGAAGAAGGCCUUCGGGUUGUAAAGCACUUUCAGCGGGGAGGAAGGCGGUGAGGUUAAUAACCUCAUCGAUUGACGUUACCCGCAGAAGAAGCACCGGCUAACUCCGUGCCAGCAGCCGCGGUAAUACGGAGGGUGCAAGCGUUAAUCGGAAUGACUGGGCGUAAAGCGCACGCAGGCGGUCUGUCAAGUCGGAUGUGAAAUCCACGGGCUCAACCUGGGAACUGCAUUCGAAACUUGCAGGCUAGAGUCUUGUAGAGGGGGGUAGAAUUCCAGGUGUAGCGGUUCAAUGCGUAGAGAUCUGGAGGAAUACCGGUGGCGAAGGCGGCCCCCUGGACAAAGACUGACGCUCAGGUGCGAAAGCGUGGGGAGCAAACAGG
rnacentral:rRNA from 1 species